ACCCAGACCUGGGCAGUGAGGCCUGUCCACGAAGAAACACGCGGCGGAGUGUCUCCCGGGAGGUUCCGCGGCAACGUGCUGGGAUUUCUGUUCAGAGGCUCUGCUGUCCUGCUGGGUCGAGCUGCGCAGACCACCCAGCCCGCACUUCCUGUGCGCAUGCGCCGGGCUCAGUCUCAGCGACACGUUCCAGCCUGUGGAACAGCUCCCGAGCCUCGGGUCCUUCGUUCUCUUAUCACUGUGCCUUGGGACAGGCAAACCAGGCAUAAAGCUGCUAAGGGUACCUGUUCUGAAAAGAGGGAAAAUGCCGUGCUUCACCCCUCG